CACUGCUGAAACAGUAUUAAUUAGGGGGGGUCUGGAUUAUAUCCUCUUCUUCAGGACCUUGGAAGAUAACACCUACUGUCACUGCUGGGGCAGUGCUAAUUGCUGGAACAACACCUCUUUGUCAGGGCCCUGAGAAAGAAGGGCAGAACCCGAGGAAUCAAAACACAUUUGUCAGCAGAAACCGCAACAGUAAAGAUAAGGGAGAAAAGCAGCCUGCCUGGGAACAACGAUGAGACCCAAUAGGGAGCAGGAGACCCCAGACCCCAAAAUUACUAUUGGUCUGAACUACCGCGUGAGGGGUGGGAAACUUAAUUUGAAAAAGCUAUAAUUGCCCAGGGAUUUCUUUGUUCAGGGUCCCUCUUCAGAGGCACCCAACUCGAGCCGUAACUACUGCACGCGUGUCAUUAUUUAAUUUGCCUUGAUUUGGCUCCGAACUUUUCAGCGGGAACCUAGGGUCGGACACCCAGGGUGAAGAGGACCAACGGGACGCCGCUGGAUCCAUGGGUGAAUUAGAGGAUUCUGGCAACUCAUGAAAAAAAACCGUUCAGAGUUAACGAAGCAGCUCCUUCUGCCUAGCUCUAGGUAUUUCAAAGGAACAAGCAGCAGACUGUGCAUACUACAAUACUACAAUUCAAAGGGAUUGGAGGGACAUGGGACCAGUGGGAAUAGGCCGGUGUCUGGAUUGUGCUUCCUGCUGGGCUAUUCACAGGCAAAGGCUGAACGUUGACUAUCACAGCUUCCAGCCUUAGAUCACAGCACAGCUCCACCAGAAAGGCUGGUUUUACUGGUAUCCUAUUGCCAAGGGGGCUGCCAGAGCCAGGGAGGCCCAGAAAGGCUAUCAGAGAGAGGAUCUAGAAUUUUGACAAGCAUAAACUCAGCAAGUUAAAAUUUAACCUGAAACAUGAGCUGGGAUUAAGAACAUGAAUGUAUCCAAGGGCAUAAAGCAGGAAGGAUGGAGAUCUAACCCAACAUAACUUUUGGCACCCCCAAAGGCAGGACAGUGUGAAAGGAAAGUGUGGCAACGUGUUUGGAUUAACAAGCAGUUCAAAUUGCUACAAACGUUCUUAAAAGCUUGUUUUGACAAGAUGCAACAGUGAAGUCAUUUCUCAUAUUUGCCAAAGCUGGAACAGCAUGAUUUCUAUGGGAAGUGAAAACAGAAAAGUACAUUAACCAAUGCUUUCAUUUUCAAUAUGUGAGCCUGAGUGCAGAAUUCAGUCUUAUAAAGAAGCGCAGUUGUUGACAAGAAUUAACAGCAUGAAACAUAUACUUGGCCUACAGUUGGAAGCCUUUUAUAUUUCAGGCAUAUUUUCUUUCCUGAUUGCACAGAAGGGAAUCUUAUACUACUGAAACUGCAAAUGCUACUCCAGAUAUUCAAUCCACCAAAUCUUGGAGGACUCUGUAGACCUGGAGCAGAGUCUCUAAAAGUGUUGCUGAAUUGUUGUCCUGAAGCUGCACACCAGAAGCAGAGCAACUGACAGAGGAAAACAUCAGGGUGGGAAUUGAUGUCUGGGAGGUGUGGAUGCAGUUUGCAGAAGAGCUGGCUAGAAGAUUUACAUGCUUCAAUCAUGCAGUGGUACAUUCGGACAUUGGAAAUACAGUUUUCCCAGUGUCACUGUGAGACCAUGUUCUAGCAGACAAACAAAACUGAGAUAUAGCUGCUGAGGAGAAUGGGAGCAUCCUCUGAGGAAGAAAGGGACAAUGGUGCUUCUACCUAAGAACGUCUCUACCAACGUUCUCCUCCACCUCUCUGAAGAGAACAUUGAAAAUCUGAAGGAAGGAGUUGAUCAAAGAAGUCACAGGCAGCAGGUCACCAGGAGACCACACUAUAUUUGUUGGUUGAUUAAGACAGGAUAAUUUAAUCAACUUUUAGAAAAGCUCAUUUAUCUCUAUUAGUUUUACAGGAGAGUCUACUGACUAUACCGACAGCAUUCAAUUGAGAGAUGAAUUCCCCCUAUAAGCUCACUCUUCAUUCUGGAGAAAUGCCUUAAUAAGUAUAUUAGCGGGAGGCUGUGUUGCUCUUAACCCUGGGAAUUUUCACAUGACAUGACCAAAUCUUCCUUAGCGUCUUAUGCUUUGAGGACAUUCAUUUAUAAGAUGUGAGUCAGCUUAAAUAUCCUACAUGAUGACAUACUGACAGCAACAUAUGCUACUGUGACCUCUGAGCUUGUUUAUUAUGAUUUCUUUUUCACUGAAGUAUGAGCUAGUCUCAUCUGCCACUAGCAGCUUGUUCAGGAUAUAGCACCAUGAUUGUCUAUGAGCUUGAAGUACUGUGAUAAUAUUCUCCCCAACCUUGAAAUAAGCCAUUUUGGGAACAUUGAAACUAAUGCAAAAUUUAUACCUUGAAGUUAAAUGACUGUAGUGUCUGAACUGCAAGCCCCGCAAGCUUUUCGUACAGCUGAGGUGAACAGAAAUGUCCAUUCUAAUAGAAAUCAGAAAUAUUUAUGAAACGCAUGUAAAAAAUUUUAGAAUCAUGUUUUAAAAUUCAUUUUUUUGAAUCUCUGCCUUUCUCAGCUGCAUUUGUCUUACUACUUCAUUUCCUCAAAGACUCACACAUGCCAAAUUUAUUUCUUUCAAACAGGUACAUUUUUUUUCUGAUAGAAUGCUGCACUUAUUUUAGGCUUACACUGCAACAUUCUGAUUUCUGAAAGAAAACUCUUGUUUUGUUCAUAUUUUAGGGUUUGCUAAAUACUCAUGCCUAUAAUUUCUCUCCUCUUGAGUUGAAUACACAGUAUUAAGAACAUCACUACUUUUAGAAGCUGAAAGAAAUCAAACAAAGGAACCUCAUCUCUUACCAAAUCCUUAUUUAUUUGUUUGUUUAUUUAUUUUUUAAUGUGGCCUCUGUGGACUGAACAACAUGUUAUGUUUCUCUAAGAUAGGAGGCAUAUGUCAGACAGAAGAUGAUCUCAUUCCACAUACAAAUGUUCUUUUGAUGCAGUUAGCUUGGCUUUUUUGGGAUAAUAUUGAAUGUUGCUUCAUUUUUAGAUAAACUCUCAUUUUUUUCCAGAGUCACAGAGAAUAUUUUCCUGUUUCCUAAGGUAUCCAUGUCUUAAUUUCAGUCACUUGUGUAGUCAGAGAAAUAGUACCCUUGAUCUCAUAAAUGUCAUAGUAGUUUCUGAAAAUAGGAGUUAUGCUUCGAAAUCUUGUAGGCAUUUUGAAAAUGGUAGUCACACUUUGUUCACCUCACUAUCAAUUUCUCCAUCUAUUUAGAAAAUAGGUCAAUGUCCAAGUCUGGAUUAUGGACUCCUUUCAACUUCUGGAGAAAGAAAUUAACCUUUAAAGAUAAGAUUAGACUUAGAGCCAGGGAUGCUUAUGAUAAUUUGAAUUGGAAAUGAGAAAUAUUUAUUUUCUACCUUUUGUUGAAAGAGUGUCCCAUGAGGACAUGUGCAUUUAUCACUGCUCAUAGCUUUAGAGGUCUGAAUUGUCAUGGAAAUAAUGGCUCUCACAAACUUUCCACCAGCGAAGAAAAUAAGCCUUACGAUAUCUAUUGACAUGAAAUCUAGCUGUCAUGUUGGGCUGAAGUCAAAUAAGAACAAUUCCCCACACCUAAGUCUUAAACUUGCUUUUCAUCUGCGUUCAAAUUUUCUCUGAAGUUUCAAAUGUCUGACCACAGUGGCAUGGCUUAAAUUUAAUGGUACGUCAAAUUACAGAGCUUUCAAAAUGAGAUCUUAAAAUCUUCAUGGAACAGUGAGAACACUUUUUUGAAUGUUUUCCAAGGCUAUUGAUUAUGCAAAAAGUGACAAAUCCCCUUAAUACAUUCUCUGAUCAAAUGAAAUUUCUAAGACAGUUUGACCUCUGCUUCAGCAAUAAUAAAGGUAGGAGUUAUAUGGUUAUCUUGUCCUUCUUUCUUACCAAAGGAAUACCCAUUUGAUCUAAAUUAAUGCUAAUUUAUUCCUCUGUAAACUCAAUAACCAGAUAAAUUAAAUAUAUGUCUUCAGACUAGGUUCUUCCCUGUUUAAAUUUUGAUCUACUUGAAUGUUCAUUGGCAUCCUUUGCAUAAAUUUUGGUAAUUCACUGAAUCGUACUGUCUGCCUAGCACCAUGGUCCAGAGAUGUUCCAUAGGAAGAGAAAUUUUCUCCAAACCCAUAAUUUAACAUUUAACAGCUUUAGCUAUGCAACAGUAAGUGGGAUCAUCUAUCAGGAAAAUAUGCAGCUUCAUGAAUUAAACAAUAGCUACCAUAAAACCAAACUAAUAGAAGAACUUAAGUAACACAGGCUAAAGUGAAAACUAAAUUCAUCAUCCAUACUUUCAUGGCCAAAACCCUGACCUUCCUGAACCAGAAUUAAUCUGUCAUUCAACUGACCAAAAUACGGUGCAGAAAUAUACAGGACAAAAACAAAACAAAACAAAACAAUACGUUUUAUUGUAUUUUAUCACAACAACAUAUCUGUAAACUUACAUGAUUCAUACAUGCAUAUGUGAGGGCUGCUUGCACAUCUGUAGAAGUACAGUGAAAUCAUCCACACUGGAAGCUCUGGAGCCAGGAAUCUACUCAAAUAAUUUGGGAGAGGAAAUAUGAAAUAUUUAAACUAGAAUCACACUCUGUUGGUGUCUCUACAGAUGGCAACUGUGGCCUGGAAUUCAUUAUUGCUAACCUUAUUUAGGGUAGCAGAAACAGAGAAGGCUUCUGCGAGCCUGGCCGAAAUUCCUCCUAUGAUUUAUUUCUCUUUAUUCUGAGGUCUUGCUGAUAUCACCUGACAGAGCAAUAAUAUUUGUGCCAACUGAAAAUUAUUAGCACUGAAGAGACCAUAAAAUAUCAGUACCCAGAACUUUUAAAAGGAUAUUGAGAAGCUGUCUGUUCUGAAAGAGGACAUUUCUCAUAGUACCAAAACCAGUGUAAAGGAAGGAGACCUCCUGGGAUGAAAGGAUUACAUCAGAAGUCUUCACCUCACCUGCUAGCAGGUUUUAUUGUGGGUUUCAGAGAGGACUGCACCUUUUGAAGAUAGCCAGGAAGAUGCCUGCAAAUAAUCCUCCCUGGCAUCUAGAAUUCAGAAGAUUAAACUUUGAAGCAAUUAAAAAAAAGAAAAAGAAAGGAAAAGAAAAGAA